AUAGAGAGUUGAAGCUCUAUCAAGCUACACUAAGCUAAAUCUAGGAAAGCAAUAAAGAAAUGCAAAUAAAAAAGAUAAAUAAAAGACUUCAUUUUCAUUCAUUUAUGUUAAAAUAUGAGAGAACACUACAUAUAUAGGACUCCUAAUGGAUCAAACCUUAAAUGGGCUUAAAGGCCCAAUUAACUAACAAUUCAAUUAAAGUACAACUAAUAAUAUAAAUACUAUUAAUACUUAAAUUAUUUAAUAAACUACUACUCAUAAUUAUUUAACUAAUUACUCCAUAAUCUUCUAUCAUUGCCGCCGGGUUCACUUGAACCUUGUCCUCAAGGUUCAGCAAUAAGUCUGGGGGCUUACGAUCUGGACGUAUGUGGAGUAGAUCAACUGAAUUUUGUUGUGGUGACACUAGGCCAAGUUCUAUACAAAAAUAGUCUAUAGCAGAAAUUUGGCCCAUUACUCUCCAGCCCAAUCUGAAGGAUCCAUUCAGUGAAUACUUGAGCCGAUGCAUAUAGGAUGUUGUCACGUGGCAAUAAGUUGGCACAUGGGAUGCUAAAUUUUCAUUCUUGGAAAUGGACAAUAGCUGGCACAUGGACAUACGGACAUGGUGGCUGGUUAGGUUGGAAUGACCAACAUUAAGGGACACGUGGUCAGUUUUUGCUGGUGGAAUAGAUUUCACACAGAUUGUAUUUUCUAUCCAUGGAUGAGAUAGUACAAAAAUUGAUCUAACGGUGUAUAAUAUUAGGGAACGGCGGGGCACAAAGAAGAUGGC
rnacentral:lncRNA from 1 species